rnacentral:rRNA from 1 species
UACGGAGGAUGCGAGCGUUAUCCGGAUUUAUUGGGUUUAAAGGGUGCGCAGGCGGGAGAUUAAGUCGGCGGUGAAAUUUUGCAGCUCAACUGUAAAAGUGCCUUCGAAACUGGUUUCCUUGAGUGUGGAUGAAGUAGGCGGAAUGCGUCGUGUAGCGGUGAAAUGCAUAGAUAUCACGAGGAACUCCGAUUGCGCAGGCAGCUUACUAAACUACUACUGACGCUUAGGCACGAAGGCGUGGGGAUCAAACAGGAUUAGAUACCCU